AUUGAACGCUGGCGGAAUGCUUUACACAUGCAAGUCGAACGGUAGAGGGGGCAACCCCUCGAGAGUGGCGAACGGGUGAGUAAUAUAUCGGAACGUGCCCAGUCGUGGGGGAUAACGUAGCGAAAGUUACGCUAAUACCGCAUACGAUCUAAGGAUGCAAGCGGGGUAUCGAGAGACCACGCGCGAUUGGAGCGGCCGAUAACAGAUUAGGCAGUUGGUGGGGUAAAGGCUCACCAAGCCAACGAUCUGUAGCUGGUCGGAGAGGACGACCAGCCACACUGGAACUGAGACACGGUCCAGACUCCUACGGGAGGCAGCAGUGGGGAAUUUUGGACAAUGGGCGAAAGCCUGAUCCAGCCAUUCCGCGUGCAGGAUGAAGGCCCUCGGGUUGUAAACUGCUUUUGUACAGAACGAAAAGGUUUCUACUAAUACUAGGAGCUCAUGACGGUACUGUAAGAAUAAGCACCGGCUAACUACGUGCCAGCCGCCGCCGUAA
rnacentral:rRNA from 1 species